UCCUGGCUCAGGACGAACGCUGGCGGCAUGCCUAAUACAUGCAAGUCGAGCGGAGUUGAWGRGAAGCUUGCUUCUCYUGAUANUUAGCGGCGGACGGGUGAGUAACACGUAGGCAACCUGCCCUCAAGUUUGGGACAACUACCGGAAACGGUAGCUAAUACCGAAUAGUUGUUUUCUUCGCCUGAAGGAAACUGGAAAGACGGAGCAAUCUGUCACUUGGGGAUGGGCCUGCGGCGCAUUAGCUAGUUGGUGAGGUAACGGCUCACCAAGGCGACGAUGCGUAGCCGACCUGAGAGGGUGAUCGGCCACACUGGGACUGAGACACGGCCCAGACUCCUACGGGAGGCAGCAGUAGGGAAUCUUCCGCAAUGGGCGAAAGCCUGACGGAGCAAUGCCGCGUGAGUGAUGAAGGUUUUCGGAUCGUAAAGCUCUGUUGCCAGGGAAGAACGCUUGGGAGAGUAACUGCUCUCAAGGUGACGGUACCUGAGAAGAAAGCCCCGGC
rnacentral:rRNA from 1 species